UUUCAGGUGACACAAUGAAGCCUUCUGGGUGGAUGCUAUCCAUCGAGGGACAAGUGGUAAUGGGCCCACACCCAUUUUUUUUGCAUGGGCUAGCUGCUUUAUUCAGCAGCUACUAUGUCUUCAACCUCAAAUAUCCCGUUGGAUCAUGCACACUGGAGUUCAUCCAAAGAUGCUUCUUGGGCAUCAACCCGGAGAAAGGCUCCAAGGCAAAGAAGCGAAGCUCCAUUAACCCUCACGUGAGCACCCUUCACCGGAAGCUGAUAGACUUGGAAUGGUCUGCAUAGACUGCAUGGUGUGCGGGGACAAGUUUAGUGGGAAGCAUUACGGUCAGUUCACCUGCGAGGGAUUAUUUGUUUAAAGGAUCCGUUAAGGGUUCAUCUGUUUUUUAUGGAUAGUUGAGGUGAACUAGUUCAUGUUCCUGUUUGUUUACUCUGUUGUUUAUUUUGUCAAUAAAUAUGCCAGUGGGCUUCCAUUGAUUUUACCUCA